UCUCCGUAGGUGAACCAGCGGAGGGAUCAUUACAGAGUUCAUGCCCUACCGGGUAGAUCUCCCACCCUAUGUUAUUAUUACUUUGUUGCUUUGGCGGGCCGUUAGGCUCCGGCCCGACUACCGGCCCCGGCUGGUAAGCGCCCGCCAGAGGACCCAAAACCCUGAAUAUUAGUGUCGUCUGAGUACUAUAUAAUAGUUAAAACUUUCAACAACGGAUCUCUUGGUUCUG
rnacentral:misc_RNA from 1 species